rnacentral:rRNA from 1 species
UACGUAUGGUGCAAGCGUUGUUCGGAAUUACUGGGCGUAAAGCGCACGCAGGCGGAUGUCUAAGUCGGAAGUGAAAACUAUGGGCUCAACCCAUAGCCUGCUUCCGAAACUGGUCGUCUGGAGUCCCGGAGAGGUGAGUGGAAUUCUCGGUGUAGCGGUGAAAUGCGUAGAUAUCGAGAGGAACACCAAUGGCGAAGGCAACUCACUGGACGGUGACUGACGCUGAUGUGCGAAAGCGUGGGGAGCAAACAGG